rnacentral:lncRNA from 1 species
CGGGUCCGAGUCGGGUCCGGGUCCGAAUCGGCUCCAUUUCUUUUGUGCUUUUGGAAAAUAAUUUUGGGCAAAUCUAAAUUGGCCAUGUCAUAACUAUAAGGUGCUGGGUGACCUAUGACUUGAAAGACUUGCAACUGACCUCUAGUCAGAACAGAUGACCCGUGACGAACUUAGUCCGUCUGUCUACAAGCCAAAUUUCAUAUCACAUUAUUUUAUUCAUAUGACUAAUUGGAUGAAAAUGGUAUCUCCCAGACCUUCCUCCAAACCCAAUUCCAUUGCAGAAACUGGCACAUGACCCAUUUUCAGCCAAGCCAAGCACCCGUGCCAGCUCUUCCGGAUUCCCAGCAUCACGCGUCCGUAUUCAUCUUCCACCUCAUCACCGGCGUCUCCCCAAGGCCGUGGUCCCAGCAUCAAGCCAUGAUCCAUGUCCCAGCAAGGCGUGAUUUCCAGCGAUCUCCCAACGCCCAUCAAGCCGUGAUCGGCUCCUCCGCGUCAUCCCCACCUUGCAGCCGGCCCGUGCGGUGCCUCCCGUCGAUCACGACCCCAGAUCCAUUGCGUCUCCUCCCAUAACGUCCACAUCUCCAGCC